rnacentral:rRNA from 11 species
UAAAUCAGUUAUAGUUUAUUUGAUGGUAUCUUGCUACAUGGAUAACUGUGGUAAUUCUAGAGCUAAUACAUGCUAAAAACCUCGACUUCGGAAGGGGUGUAUUUAUUAGAUAAAAAACCAAUGCCCUUCGGGGCUCCUUGGUGAAUCAUAAUAACUUAACGAAUCGCAUGGCCUUGCGCCGGCGAUGGUUCAUUCAAAUUUCUGCCCUAUCAGCUA